CUCUAAUCUUCACAGUCACUUCACUAUGGAAGAAUGCCUUCCAGAUGUUGUUUAAAAUAAAUGAAGGAAGUUUGGUGACAAAAAUCCCAGAAAAUGCCUGUGGGGAACAUAGAGAGGCAUGUUCCCAGACAGAUAUGGAUUGAUUUAUUUCUUGAGAACAUAGGAUCAACUCAGAAGACCAUGGAUGGUAAAUUGGAUGAAGAAAAUGUGGUACAUGUGCACCAUGGAAUAAUACCACAUAGCGAUCAAAAAGAAUGAAAUCAGGUCCUUUGCAGCAACACAGAUGUAGCUGGAGGUCAUUAUCCUAAGUGAAUUGACGGAGGAACAGAAAAGCAAAUACUGCAUGUUCUCACUCAUAAUUGGGGCUAAACUGAGCGCACAUGGACAUAAACAUGAGAACAAUAGACACUGCGGACUAUUAGAUGUGGGAGGGAGGAAGGGAGAAGUGCAAAAGUUGAUAAACUACUUACUGGGUACUAUGCUUACUACCUGGGUGAUGGGAUCCGUACUCCAGACCUCAGCAUCAUGUGAUACGCAGAUGCAACAAAUCUGUACAUGUUCCCCUGUAUCUAAAAUAUAAGUUGAAAUUUUAAAAA